ACUCUUUCCUCUCCCCAAUCAUCUCCUGUCUCAUCUCCCCCAAUCCCCUCCUCUCUCUCCUCUCCCCAAUCCCUCUGCAUCCUCCUCCAAAUCCCUCCUCCAAAUCCCAUAGCGCCUCCAGCGGAUCUUGUGCUUGGCCUCGCCGGCGAGUAGUCCAUCACGCCGCCUGCGAGUCUCCUCCACAUGCCGUCCGCCUCGCUGGGCGAGCAGCAGAAGAACGCCAUGGGGUGAGCGCUUGACGAGCGGGAACUCCGUGGUGAGCAGCGGCCGCUGCAUCGGGUGGGCGGCGCGGCUGCACCGGCGGGUGAAAACCCUAGCGCGCCGCCUCACAAUCCCGAACAUCCAUCCUCGUCACCUUCGUCCUCAGCUUCCGGUCUGCAAGUGGAAGAUGAGGCGGAGACCAAGAAGUAGAACCCGACUGCAGGAUAAAGAGGAGGCAAAAAGUGACUUUGAAGCUAAUCAAUCUCAGCCAUAAGGAACUCAAAAAUAGUGUUGGCAGGGGAUAUUACCAUAAUGCAAGAAUAUGCUGCAAGUCAAUUCAGGUUUUCCAGAUCAUUUAUAAUUUACAAACCAGAUUCCAGUAGUAUUAAAUAUGGCAGAAGACAUCGGAGGAGAAAACGUUUAUCUGAAGAAAAAGAUGAAAACCGAUGGGCAUGACCAACAUUUUCCUAUGAAGAAAACAAAUAAGGUUGCGGUGCAAGGUGCAGAGGUCCCCUGCAGCGUGUGGAGGUGGUUGGCCUUGGCCAGGUCAAGUUGUCGGGGUGACCUCUCUAUAUCCACUCUGUAGAGUUGGUGUUCCUCAUUUCCUUAUCUGAAAAUUCAUUUAGAAUAAGGCCACUUGCGCAUCCAGUUUUAUGAAGGAUUGUCAAGCUAAAAAUAAAGGAUGGAGGCCAUGGAUAUCUCUACUAAAAGUAUUGCAUGGCGUCAUGAUAUCCUCCUCUUCUUGUUUGGCCCCUGCAGAUGGCGUAACCUUCAGGUGAGAUCCUCCUCCACUUGAAGUGUUCGCUAUUUUUUCAUGAAAACAUUGACAUUUCGAGUAUUUUUUCAUCCUUUUUAUUAUAAAUCACGGAGAUGGAGAUACAUAUUAGGGAGUAAGUUUGUUAAUAUACUUCUCAAGGCAUGCACAAAAGAAUUCGAUGGUAAGCUUCCAUAGUUUUUUUUAUAGAAGAACCAUAUUUAGUUAUAUCAUCCUACAGGCAUAAUGAUAUGUUGUGUGUGUUGAUGGAAUUGACCAUCAAGCUGGAGAGGCUCUUUAACCAACAAUACAUAUAUCACCUGACACCGUGGGGUAUGUCUAUUUUUAUUCCUGAUUUAUUUGUGGUUGCAGCAAGGUAGAUUAUAUCUUUCUGGUCUACCUAUUAAUCUUUGCCUACUACCACUGUUGUGGAUUGGAAGUACAUUUUUCUUACACUGAAGCCUAAUUGUGUGAGAUUUAAGAGAGUGAUUAAUGACAUAUGAUGUGCACUUUCGUAGCUGUGAGGAAGGAUUGAAGUGGAGUUACAUCAUUAAACUUCGCAAUGCUUCUAAAUAUCUGCUAAUUAUCACCCUUUAUUGGUUGAUUUUCUUGAUGAAUAGCUUCAACGAUGAUAAUUUGAGAUAUACAAAAUGACAAGUCAGUGCUUAAUUUUGAAAACCGUAAUUUCUUACUUACCUUCUUGAUCAUUACAGGGCACCUGCAAGCAAGCUCCACCAGAAUCUCUGUUUCCAUUACAGGUCGGUCACCUUUUCUAAAGUAUUGAAAUGUUAUGGUGAUGUGAAUGGCUCAACAGGCCAUUGCGAUGUUCUUGCAUUGGUAUAUUAUUUUAUAUAUCUCUACCAAAUUAACUAAAUUCGGUGUGCU